rnacentral:tRNA from 2 species
AAGGAAGGGCAGAAAUCAGUAAGUACUGCUAAUACUUAUGCACCAAGGUUAAAAUCCUAGGCUUCUUUA